rnacentral:misc_RNA from 1 species
CUCCGUAGGGGGAACCUGCGGAGGGAUCAUUACCGAGUUUACAACUCCCAAACCCCUGUGAACAUACCUUAAUGUUGCCUCGGCGGAUCAGCCCGCGCCCCGUAAAACGGGACGGCCCGCCAGAGGACCCAAACUCUAAUGUUUCUUAUUGUAACUUCUGAGUAAAACAAACAAAUAAAUCAAAACUUUCAACAACGGAUCUCUUGGUUCUGGCAUCGAUGAAGAACGCAGCAAAAUGCGAUAAGUAAUGUGAAUUGCAGAAUUCAGUGAAUCAUCGAAUCUUUGAACGCACAUUGCGCCCGCUGGUAUUCCGGCGGGCAUGCCUGUUCGAGCGUCAUUUCAACCCUCAAGCCCUCGGGUUUGGUGUUGGGGAUCGGCUCUGCCUUCUGGCGGUGCCGCCCCCGAAAUACAUUGGCGGUCUCGCUGCAGCCUCCAUUGCGUAGUAGCUAACACCUCGCAACUGGAACGCGGCGCGGCCAUGCCGUAAAACCCCAACUUCUGAAUGUUGACCUCGGAUUCAGGUAGGAAUACCCGCUGAACUUAAGCAUAUCAAUAAGCGGAGGA